rnacentral:rRNA from 1 species
AGCUCCAAUAGCGUAUAUUAAAGUUGUUGCGGUUAAAAAGCUCGUAGUUGGAUUUCUGUCGAGGACGGCCGGUCCUUGCUAAGCAAGUGUAUCUGGUUCGGUCUUGGCAUCCUCCUGGAACGUGUCUGACCUUCAUUGGUUGGUACGGUAUCAGGACUUUUACUUUGAGGAAAUUAGAGUGUUCACGGCAGGCUUUCGCCUUGAAUACAUUAGCAUGGAAUAAUAUUAUAGGACCUUGGUGCUAUUUUGUUGGUUUCUAGAACUAAGGUAAUGAUUAAUAGGGAUAAUUGGGGGCAUUCGUAUUAACACGUCAGAGGUGGAAUUCUUGGAUUGUGUUACGACGAACUACUGCGAAAGCAUUUGCCAAGGAUGUUUUCA